CACUUAGAGGAGAGGAAAGUGAUCAGGAACAGUCAGCAUGGAUUCACCAAGGGGUGGCCAGAUGCCUGGUUUUCGACUGGAAAGUCUGGCCCAAAAGGCGACGUGACGGUGUCUGGUCAGAUCAACUGACCGGACGUCCAAAGUUCAGUUACUAGAGGCGAGGAGGCGCCAGGUCAUCACCCACUCCAGCCCCUACUCAGCCGGGGCCAUCUCCUACCUUCGUCGGGCGGCUGCAGCUCCAAGCCCCGGCUCUGCAGAUCUAAUUGUGUGAUUAUUGCCACCAACAAAGGAUUGUGGCAGCGUGAAAAGAAUGAAGCAAGAGGGGGAGAGAAAGAAGAGGAGGUGGCUGAUUAUCAGUGUGAAUACACACAUACAUCAGCAGUCAGCAGCUAUGAGAAAAGAAAAAUAGAAAGAGCACACGGCUAUGUUUUUAACAUUUCCUUAUGCAUAAUGAAGCUCUUAAAGAAUUAACCUAUUUGGCAAUUUUGGGCCACAAAAAUCUUUGUUACACUUGUAGAAAAUUUGUAUUUUGAAUGGAGUAAACUUUUAUGCAUAGUGCUGAUAUUAAUAGGUAGAUUAGAUAAGGAUGGUUUUUAAUGUACAUUUGUACAACACUCAGCAUGAUGGGAUGCCAUAGGGCAUGCCUAACCUACCCUGUAUUACCCCUUGCUGAGUUAGUGGAGUGUUGUACAAGCUCCCUGCCCAGGAAGCCAAAAAUUUCACUUCAGGCAAUCUUGACAAUACCCUCCUUUGGGUAUGUUUGUUACAAACCCACAUACAAAAGGGGCCAUAACAAAGAAUUCCCAAAUAAGCAAAAGGUGCUUCUAGCUUUCAGGGUUCCUCUGAAGCCUGCCCUCUAAGCCGUUCCCAGCCCCUCAGGGUUCUCGCUCAGUCUUUGUGUCUCUCCUUAUGGCAGAGUCCCAGCUCUCCUCCUGGAGCUUGGAGAGUUCAAACAAUUAUUAUCCCUUUCCUUACCAGGAGUCCUCAGCUCUCUUCCUGGACCUGGGUUGUGAUUUAUCUCCUUCAGCUGGUCCCAUUUAGUCCUCAGAUUCAGAGGGGUUGGCAGCCCUCUUCUGAGGGUGCCUGUUAACUCAGAGCCCUGGAAGAGUCUUCUUAUUCCCUUUAGUAUCUGCAGAUAGCUGUUCUACUGUGAACACGGAGGCCAUCAUUUAUGGUGGCCCCUUCUCCCAUCUCAUUCCUCAUUGGCUGGUUGAGACAGGAGCCCUGCCUCACCCUGUCUGCAAGGCUCCAUGUUGCAGAUCCUUAAAGAUACCAAUACCGGGAUUCCUUCUAAAUGCUACUUCCUUCUAAAUGCUACUUCUUCUUGGGACUUUUUUCCUCUCUCCACAUAUCUUCUCAGGCUUUGUGUAUCAGAGCACCCCAAACUCUUAAAGGGCCAUGCCGUGUGAUGGGGAGGACUGACCAGUAGGUUGUAUUGCCCUUAAGGGGAAGAGUACCCCAUCACAGGGGGGUUGGUCCUGAUUGGGUUCAGGGGGCACUACUCUAAUGCAAAUAAUAAACAGACUAACUUUAUAUUGAAAUGGAUUAGACUUGUCACUUUUCUUCUGGAUUGUCUCCAUCAUAUAACAAGGAAUUCUAGAGGGUUAUUGUCUUUCUAUAUCCUACUGUACUGGUGCUGUAUUUUCUUACAACACGAUCUCUGAUUCUUCAGCUUACUCUCAUACACUAGCAUAUGCAAAGACCUGGUACAAAAUAGCAGGUGAUAAGGAAGAUGCAGGCUAUGGCUAUGCUAGACUUCUCC